rnacentral:rRNA from 1 species
GAUGAACGCUAGCGGCAGGCUUAACACAUGCAAGUCGAGGGGCAGCGGGGUGUAGCAAUACAUCGCCGGCGACCGGCGCACGGGUGCGUAACACGUAUGGAAUCUGCCCUUUACUGGGGAAUAGCCCUCCGAAAGGAGGAUUAAUGCCCCAUAACAAGCGAGGUGGCAUCACCUUGCUUUGAAAGCUCCGGCGGUAAAGGAUGACCAUGCGCCCGAUUAGCUAGUUGGUGAGGUAACAGCUCACCAAGGCUACGAUCGGUAGGGGGCCUGAGAGGGUUAUCCCCCACACUGGUACUGAGACACGGACCAGACUCCUACGGGAGGCAGCAGUGAGGAAUAUUGCGCAAUGGAGGCAACUCUGACGCAGCCAUGCCGCGUGCAGGAAGAAGGCGCUACGCGUUGUAAACUGCUUUUAUCCGGGAAGAAACCCCAGGACGUGUCUUGGGUUGACGGUACCGGAGGAAUAAGCACCGGCUAACUUCGUGCCAGCAGCCGCGGUAAAAC